CAGCACCUCAAGUGGUCAGGAUGAUUAGUGGGCCUAAAGCAUCCGUAGCCGGCUCUGUAAGUUUUCGGUUAAAUCUGUACGCUCAACGUACAGGCUGCCGGGAAUACUGCAGCGCUAGGGAGUGGGAGAGGUAGACGGUACUCGGUAGGAAGGGGUAAAAUCCUUUGAUCUAUUGAUGACCACCUGUGGCGAAGGCGGUCUACCAGAACACGUCCGACGGUGAGGGAUGAAAGCUGGGGGAGCAAACCGGAUUAGAUACCCGAGUAGUCC
rnacentral:rRNA from 1 species